rnacentral:rRNA from 1 species
GAUGAACGCUGGCGGCGUGCCUAAUACAUGCAAGUCGAGCGAACAGAUGAGGAGCUUGCUCCUCUGACGUUAGCGGCGGACGGGUGAGUAACACGUGGAUAACCUACCUAUAAGACUGGGAUAACUUCGGGAAACCGGAGCUAAUACCGGAUAAUAUAUUGAACCGCAUGGUUCAAUAGUGAAAGACGGUUUUGCUGUCACUUAUAGAUGGAUCCGCGCCGCAUUAGCUAGUUGGUAAGGUAACGGCUUACCAAGGCAACGAUGCGUAGCCGACCUGAGAGGGUGAUCGGCCACACUGGAACUGAGACACGGUCCAGACUCCUACGGGAGGCAGCAGUAGGGAAUCUUCCGCAAUGGGCGAAAGCCUGACGGAGCAACGCCGCGUGAGUGAUGAAGGUCUUCGGAUCGUAAAACUCUGUUAUUAGGGAAGAACAAAUGUGUAAGUAACUAUGCACGUCUUGACGGUACCUAAACAGAAAGCCCCGGCUAACUACGUG